GCGCAGAUGGUGGAGUGGACAAUCACACUUGGCUGUAAACCAAGCGCCCGAAAGGGCUACGCAGGUUCGAAUCCUGCUCUGCGCA
rnacentral:tRNA from 3 species